GAUGAACGCUGGCGGCGUGCCUAAUACAUGCCAGUCGAGCGAACGGACGAUAAGCUUUCUUCUCUGAUGUUAGCGGCGGACGGGUGAGUAACACGUGGAUAACCUACCUAUAAGACUGGGAUAACUUCGGGAAACCGGAGCUAAUACCGGAUAAUAUUUUGAACCGCAUGGUUCAAAAGUGAAAGACGGUCUUGCUGUCACUUAUAGAUGGAUCCGCGCUGCAUUAGCUAGUUGGUAAGGUAACGGCUUACCAAGGCAACGAUGCAUAGCCGACCUGAGAGGGUGAUCGGCCACACUGGAACUGAGACACGGUCCAGACUCCUACGGGAGGCAGCAGUAGGGAAUAUUCCGCAAUGGGCGAAAGCCUGACGGAGCAACGCCGCGUGAGUGAUGAAGGUCUUCGGAUCGUAAAACUCUGUUAUUAGGGAAGAACAUAUGUGUAAGUAACUGUGCACAUCUUGACGGUACCUAAUCAGAAAGCCACGGCUAACUACGUG
rnacentral:rRNA from 1 species